rnacentral:rRNA from 1 species
AGAUUGAAUGCUGGCGGAAUGCUUUACACAUGCAAGUCGAACGGCAGCACGGGGGCAACCCUGGUGGCGAGUGGCGCACGGGUGAGUAAUACAUCGGAACGUGUCCUAGAGUGGGGGAUAGCCCGGCGAAAGCCGGAUUAAUACCGCAUACGCUCGAAAGAGGAAAGUGGGGGAUCGUAAGACCUCACGCCCAAGGAGCGGCCGAUGCCGGAUUAGCUUGUUGGUGAGGUAAAAGCUCACCAAGGCGACGAUCCGUAGCUGGUCUGAGAGGACGACCAGCCACACUGGGACUGAGACACGGCCCAGACUCCUACGGGAGGCAGCAGUGGGGAAUUUGGACAAGUGGGGAAACCCUGAUCCAGCCAUUCCGCGUGAGUGAAGAAGGCCUUGGGUGUAAGCUCGUUCGGCGAGGAACGAACGGUU